GAUGAACGCUGGCGGCGUGCCUAAUACAUGCAAGUCGAGCGAACAGAUAAGGAGCUUGCUCCUUUGACGUUAGCGGCUGACGGGUGAGUAACACGUGGGUAACCUACCUAUAAGACUGGGAUAACUUCGUGAAACCGGAGCUAAUACCGGAUAACAUUUGGAACCGCAUGGUUCUAAAGUGAAUGAUGGUUUUGCUAUCACUUAUAGAUGGACCCGCGCCGUAUUAGCUAGUUGGUAAGGUAACGGCUUACCAAGGCGACGAUACGUAGCCGACCUGAGAGGGUGAUCGGCCACACUGGAACUGAGACACGGUCCAGACUCCUACGGGAGGCAGCAGUAGGGAAUAUUGCGCAAUGGGCGAAAGCCUGACGGAGCAACGCCGCGUGAGUGAUGAAGGGCUUCGGCUCGUAAAACUCUGUUAUUAGGGAAGAACAAAUGUGGAAGUAACUGUGCACGUCCUGACGGUACCUAAUCAGAAAGCAACGGCUAACUACGUG
rnacentral:rRNA from 1 species